UCAGCCUUGCGUCAGUCUGGCGUGGGCCAUUCUAUAGGACGGGUCGGGUGUGUCGCCCGUCUCUCCUCCGCUCCUUUGAAAGGAGAAAAUCCGCAUAUUUCGUUCCUUCAGUGCCGAUCUCGCUGAGAGAUAUGCACGCACAGUGAUCCUCUCAAUUGUAGUUUGUAGUGAUAAAAACCCGCCAUCUAUUGGUUGUCGAAGUUACGGUAGUGCGAGGCUGGGAAAAGUGUGUUGGCCGCGGCGUCGGGAGGCAAGGCAAGCCAGGCUCCCGGUACCGGCUGUAGUGUGUGAUAUUUGCCCUGUUAUGGUGUCCGCGGUGGUGUAAAACGUGUGAGUGGAUAACUUGGAUAAAAGAUAGCUUCCCCUUCUCCCGUCGAGGACGAGCUGCAGUCACCGUAGCGUUGCAAGGUGAGGAACCCAAAUGCGUAACCAGAACUUCACAUUAGGGUAAGUCACGCCCACCGUGCACGCCCAUGAGUCUCAUCGGUGGGCCCUAUCACUUCCUGGGCGCGUCUGCUUUCUUCAUCUGCUAAUAAAAAAUAUGAAUGAUGUAAAAAAAA